UAUAACUAAGGGGGCAUAGGAAGUUUUCACAGACUGUUAUUCGUUUAGGUAUGCGCACCGUAACUGAAAAGUAAUCGUCUACAAAAGCUAACUUGUAUAUGCCCAUAACCUGGCUAAUUAACGAAUAGCGUGCAAUCUGCCCACGCACCAGGAAGAAAAGCGAGGAGGGAAAAGGGUCCUGUGCCAUGACUUGCUUGUUGUUGUCCGGAUACCAAAUCAGGUGCCAAAGAUGACACAAAGUAUAUAACGUAUAUAUGUAUAUAUAAACAUUUAUAUAGAUAUAYAUUUAUCAUAUUUAACAUCGAAAUCAAAAGCAAGCUAAAUAUUUGGAUUUUAUUUCCGUUCAUAUAUAUUUACUUAUACAAAGCACGCCAAAUAUAUA